UGAUGCGAUCAUACCAGCACUAACGUAAUGGAUCCUAUCAGAACUCCAAAGUCAAGCAUGUUUGGGCGAGAGUAGUACUAAGAUGGGUGACCCCCUGGGAAGUCCUCGUGUUGCAUCCC
rnacentral:rRNA from 1 species